GCUCAGUCGGGUUGACAGUCCCCUUGCAACCGCUAGAGUAGUUGCAUCAUAUAAAUGUUAUUCACCCUGUGAUUGUAAUACAGAUUCGAUACAUUUCUUUAUUGCUACCUCCAGAGAUCAUUUCAGAGAUUUUGGAAGUUCGUCCAACAGGCCUUACAACCGCAGACCACGUGUAACCCAUGCCAGCCCAGGACUGCCACAUCCGGCUUCUUCACCUGCGGGAUCGUCUGAGGCCAGCCACACGGACAGCUGAUUAAACGGUUUGUUUACACAACCGUAGAAUUUCUGCACAAACUGUUAGAAAUUGCCUCAGGGAAGCUCUUCUAUGCGCUCAACAUCCUCACCGGGGUCUUGAUUUGUCUGCAGUUCAGUGUCAUAAUCAACGUGAGUGGGCAAGAGCUCACCUUCAAUGGCCACUGGCACGCUGGAGAACGGUCUUCUUCACUGAAGAAUCAUAGUUUGUAUACAGGGCAGAUGGCAGGCAGCCUGUAUGGCGUUGGGUGGGUGAGCGGUUUGCUGAUGUCAACGAUGUGAACAGAGUGGCCCAUGGUGCUGGUGGCUAGUUGGUAUGGGCAGGCAUAUCCUAUGGGCAGAACUCGCGUGCAUUUUAUCCAUGGCAAUUUGAAUGCACAGAGAUAUCGUGAGGAGAUUCUGAGGCCCAUUGCUGUGCCAUUCAUCCGCCGCCAUCACGUCAUGUUUCAGCAUGACAAUGCACAGCCUCAUGUUGCAAGGAUCUGUACACAAUUCCUCGAAGAUGAAAAUGUUCCAGUUCUUCCAUGUCCUGCAUACUCACCAGACAGGUCACCCAUUGAGCAUGAUUGGGAUGCUCUGGACCAGGGUAUACAAUAGCUUGUUUCAGUUCCCCCCAAUAUCCAACAACUUUGUACAGCUAUUGAAGAGGAGUGGGACAAUAUUCCACAGGCUACAAUCAAUUCAAUGUGAAGAUGUGUUGCGUUGCAUGAAGCAAAUGGUGGUCACACGAUACUGAUUGGUAUUCUGUUCAUUUCAUGGUAUCAUUUUUUGGGGAAUCUGUGACUAACAAAUGCAUAUCUUUAUCCCCAAACACAUGAAAUCAAUAAAUAAGUACAUAAUGAAUCUAUUUCAGUUGGCUGAAUUACGUUUACCUUUGAACUCAAAAUCUUCAAAAUUGAUGUUGCAUUUCUAUUUGUUCAGUGUACGUAGAUGUAUUUACGUCAAAGUUUAUUGAACAGAAGAAAAAAAAAACCCUGUUCAUGUUUUAUAUUAAUCUUUAAUGUCUUCAAAAAAAGUGAAGCUGCUUUGUGACAGUGAUGUUCACACUGCAGCUGGAUAUUGCUGUAUGCACAUUUGAAGAAGUGUUCUCUUGUGUAAAAGGGACAUGCACUGUCACAGUAGGUUACAAAGAAUUUGAGUCAUGGCAUUUACUGGAGGCAGGGUGUUAAAUGUGGCCAAAAAUCAA